UACAGAGGUCUCGAGCGUUGUUCGGAUUCAUUGGGCGUAAAGGGUGCGUAGGUGGCGCUGUAAGUCGGGUGUGAAAUCCUGAGGCUUAACCUCGAACUGCAUUCGAUACUGCGGCGCUUGAGGACUGGAGAGGAGACUGGAAUUCAUGGUGUAGCGGUGAAAUGCGCAGAUAUCAGGAGGAACACCGAUGGCGAAGGCAGCUCGCUGGGACGGUACUGACGCUGAGACGCGAAAGCGUGGGGAGCAAACAGG
rnacentral:rRNA from 1 species